CGGAAUAUUUCCUUCAGUGAACGCGGGGACGCUGACAUUUCAGGCUGGGGUGAGGCAGAAGAAAAAGCCCUAAGAAACGAGCCAGAAACCGAAAGUGAAAGAAAUCGGGCAAAUAAAAAUAAAAAUACGACGAUGCAGGCGAGCGAGGUUCUACGCAGCUGGAUAAAGAAAUGUGUUCUCCUCCAUGUUAACACUUUCUUACGUUCAUGAGGUCCCUUCGGAGCAGCACGGUCAGUGAACCUAACGAGGAAGCUGCUGGAAGGGGCCGCGUUGCAAAGCCUCCCCAGAGAAACAGAAGAAGAGGGAGGAGAUGAUUCCAGCAAGACCAAACUGGCACUGGUGGGACAAACCGAUGCUUCUUCACACAGAACAGGAAAAGAGUCAUGCUGCUCUUCAACUACAGGAAAUAACCUCGGUGCUGAUGACGCAGGUCUCGGGGGAAAGCUCAGCAAGUUCUGUCGAUGUGAAGCAUACUGUACACUCUGUAUAAGUGCACGAACAAGCAGGGCUGUGCAAGGCUGUGCAACAUGUUGCAGCACGGACACACACAUUCACACUGCCACAUCUCUUUGAGGGUUUGUUUUGUGGCAUAUAUUAGAAGUAUGGAAUCUGUUCAUCACUAAACUGUCAAACACAGCUGAAAUAUCUCCCUGUCUUUCUCUCCCCCGGCACCGGCUUACACACAUCCACACAAACUAGAUGAAAAGACGUAAAUCUGUAAAGCUGCCACCAGAUGAUAAGUCUGUGCAGAGAGAUUUCCCCCAGCAACACGUCCAGCGGUCUGCCUAAUUAGAGCUGAGUGUAUCUGUGGGCAAUGGAGUCUGCGUCUGCACAUGGAAAGGGGGGAUUUGGCCGAGAGCGUUCAUUCACUGGGCUGUCUGGUGGCAAGACAAUGGUGAGGAGGCAGAUUGGAUGUCUUGUUUCCAGAGGAAAGACAAGAAUAAUGCCGGUUGAAUAUUCCAUAGAGGUGGAUUUUUGGGGGGACUGUUGGAAUUGGAAAAAUCCGGUUAGAGACUUAAUGGAAACAGAGCAGUAGCAGGGAGAGGCUGAGCUGAGCCUGUAGGCCGAUCUGAUGCCAGCCCUGCAUGUCCCAUCCUUUACCUGUCCUCUCUGUCCUCAGAGUGGGUCCACUCCACUCAUUUAUCCUUUGUCUAAACCAUUAUAUGAAAGGGCGUCCUCCCAUCCUGUCCUCAAGGACGACCACUCUCUCACUGCUGAGUCCGCCCUCGCACAGAAUAUGUGACUGUUGUGAUCCUCGUAGUCCCUAAAACUUGUACAGAAUUGAGAUCGGCUUCAGAAAUUCCCAACCAGAGAUACCUGUAGGCAAAGGCUACUUUGGCAGCAUAUGUAGAAAUUCAUAAAGUGAAUAUACUGAGUCAACAGCGAGGCCUAAACACUGAACAUUAUGACUGAGAGUGUGUCGAAACUUAGCUGGUAAAUGAGCAGAGAAGUUGAGCAAUUCAUUCAGCAGUUAUUGAUUUAAGGUUUGCUAUGGAUACAUGGAAAUUUUAAGUUUAAUUGUAUGAAAAAGAUAUUGUGACAAGCCAGUAUACACUUAAAUAAUAGUACUGAGCGAAAUCCAGUUUAAACUUAAGUCGAUGAAGGGUUUUUGGCUUCAUUUAUACACAUAGCUGAAAAAAAUGAGCAACACUAACUACAUAAUUUGACUUUCAGUAACUUUGCCAAUGGCUGUGCAGUGUCUUUAUUUUGUUACUCUAACAACAAAGUGAUACAUGCAUCAGAUUUUUGUUCAAUAAUUCAUAAGACGCUAGUUAAAAUGUCCAAUUUUGUUUCUCCUAAUGAAAAGAAACGUUUCAUAAAUUACUGGACUAGCAGCAAAGACAGCACGUUUUUCUGACCUUUCACCUAAUGUUCCACCACAUGUGCAGUUUUUUGGCAGCCUUUUCAGAUUUUCUAACAAACAUAAGUGACAUAUACAAACAUAACCUCCUGCAGCAUCUUCACUGAAAUUAAUCCACUUUCUGAGAACAUAGAAAUACUUAACAUGAAACUUUUUAUUCGCCCACACAGAAAAUACACAUAAAUGCAGAUUGAAACACACACACAGAGACUACCCACACUGCAUGAACACACAAAGCUAUCACCUCCCACCCACCAGCCUGGAAAAUAUUAACCUUUUCAUCUCAUGUCACCUUUUCGUCUAACUUCAUGCUCGCAUGCCUUUACAGACACACGCCACGGUGCACACAUGCACGUUACAAACUGGUUGUAAGUGCACACGGAUUCAUGCGUACAAACACAGGGACACACAAGCAGCUGCAGAUAUCUCAGAGGAACUUCAGAGAAUUCAGGGAGUGGAGAGUCAUUUUGUUAAAGAGGACCAAGCUGCAGGAAAUGAGAAUCAUUGACCCUCCCUUGUGACCGAAUUUACAAUCUGUGCCUGAAAUCAGUUGGAGGAAGAAAGAAAACAGAGAAAGUUAGCUGGAGAAGGAAAUGUUUGAGCGUCUAUAAAUAGAAAGCCCAUGUUUGAAAUGAUUCUGAAAGGCAUGCAGUCAUUUAUUAUUCAGCUCAUAUUGCUCCACGUUUAUCACAUAGAACGAGUAGAAAGGAACUUCACAGGCUUGUUUCGAAUCUAGAUUUAUUUCCCAACAGUAGCAGAUUUAAAACUAGUGAUAGGCGACAUUGCGCAUUUAUGAAAAUAUUUUAGAUAAACCCUGAUUUACGUCUGACAGGUUUUAUUACAGUGUGAAUUUCUAAUACUGGGAUAUGAAAUGAAGGAAAUGAUGCUUUAAACUAGCAGAUCAAAUACUGUAUUUGCCCCAGAAAAUGGCUGUAUCCCUGUAAAUCAUAAAUCAGUUCAGCUCCUCGAAUGCAACACCAAACAAUCUAAUUGUCUUAGAUCAGCACCUAUAAGCCAGCUGCUUUGUGCACACUUUGACUGUACUCAGACAAAGGGGAUUUCAAAUUGCCUUUCAAAUACGCUGUGAACCUUUAAGAUUUUUAUCACAACAAACAGCGAAUAUGGGAGGCUGCUAUUUGAGCGUGAGGCAUUAACGAAAACAAACAGUAUAUUGUGAGCACGAAGAGAAGAAGCCUUUUGCAUUGAAGACAUGCAUGGGGCCUCAUUCAUAAUUCAGAGGCGUCGCAGCGAUAUGAGAGAGGAGGACGCAUCUGUCUGCAUUACGCCAGCGUUGCCUCUUCGUUGCAUCACCCUCCCGGGAGGUUCGUUUUCGAGAGUUUAAUACGCUCCCUAUCAGUGGCGCUCUGGCUGUGGUCUAAUUUCAGCCUCAGAUAAGAGCCUUUAUUUGUCACCCAGCUCCUUUGCCCUGUCACACAGCCUAGAAGUGCCUCCUCAGUCUGAAAUCUUUAAAAGGAGUGCUGACUGGAUGAGCUGCCGUUUGUCUAUACGUUACUUGUGACGGUUAAGUGUGCAGUAUCACAAGUGAGAAUAUUAUGAACCCUCAAUUCUAAGUCAAAACCCAUCCCCCACACACACAUAUAGCUGUCUCCCCACACAAAGAGAGGCGCAUGUGCCUUAUUACACACACACACACACACACACACACACACACACACACACACACACACACACACACACACACACACACACACACACACAGCUGGCUGCUGGUCUGUCUGACCUAGUUUAUUUCUGUAGGCUGCUCUAAUGGAAGGAGCGAGCGUGGUGUAUUAUCUGACUGUAUCUGAUUUGCAUUUCUGCCCUGUCACUGGCAGAUGGCACCAGAGGUCGAGAGCAGAGCUUUUCGGAGGCCCGCUCGCACACACAUAUCCUGCACGUACACACAAACACACACACACAGAACACAUGAAGCUUUACACUUGUCAUAUAAGAACUUGAGUUGUCAGAAAAGCUGGUGAAUUGCAGUUUUGUUAAGCUGACUUAAUGUGUAAGUAAAAAACGCUGGAUGUGAUAGAGUCACGCACGCUUGCAGACGCACGCAAACUCAUGUUGGAGACAUAGUACAACGCUCACUUGCAUGCAUGCAUGCAGAGGGGUGGAGCGCCUGGUGUUCUGAACUGUAGCGUUCGGUUUACACCCUCUGCUCUUGCACUAUUCAUGCUUGAUAGGAAGGAAGUGAUGAAUCACGCUCACUUAUUUGUGGUAGUGGUGAGUGUUCAAGUACAGAUAGGGCCUCUCUCUCUUUCUGCCACACAGACAAACUUUCUCUCUCUCUCGAGAAAUCACAGAGGAAGUGAACAGACAUGAAACCUCAGCAGUUUGUCAUUCUCUAUUUGAUGGAAGUCAUGCUUGAAAUCAUUCAGAAAGAAGGUGAUUUGGGGGUUUUAUUGUGGUGCAGGAGUGAUGUGUUUACAUCACUGCCAUCGCAUCAGGGCCAUGUACGACUUGAUCGCUUCUGUCAUGUGUUCCAUCAAAUUUGGACAAAUCUUGUGUUGCAGAAAAAGCGCACAGUGGCUCUAAGGUGCGUUCUCUUGUCUGGGUUCAUCUGGAGCUCACACAGAAACACCAUCACACCCAGCUGGGGAGUGGCAGUGUCAUAAGUUGGUGUGUAUGUGUCUGCACUGACAUUAAUUUAAAUAUGUCAGCAGUUUUUUAACUUUUUGAUGACAGGAGCUGAUACGUGCUGCUGUGCACACACUUAAACUGCAUGCACACACACGCACAUGUGAAUCUUUAUUUGGAGACAGGAAGCAUCAGGGUGUGCUCUCACUCUGUCUUUCUCUACCUCGUUCUCUCUCUCUUUUUCACACACACAGCAACACACACACACACACACACACACACACACACACACACACGUAACCGUUAUUUGAGGGUGUGGGGACAUUUUCCAUGCGGUUUGAGUGGUUUAGCUUUGCAAUUGUAAAAAAAAAAAAAAAAAAAAAAAAAAUCUGCCAGAUCUGCUGUACAUGAAGACACAAAUGGUUUAAAUGGAGAGUGGGGGGGUGAAACCAAUUAGUUUGAGGCUCAUUAAAGUGUUGGGCAAAAACUGGCCAAAAGAGAGAGAGAAAAAAAACACAUGCAAAGUCUUGUCACGCCAACUUUUCCAUGAGCAUUGGUUCACAUGACAUGAAGAGGCUGACUGAGAUAUGAUUACAUUGUUAGAAAUUGUAUCCACCGAGUUCAAAAUAGAGGCCUAGGUUCAAACAGAAUGCUACUUGAGCAUUAAAAUCCCCCCUCCGUUACUUCUGUGUCUUCUGCUUUCAUAAUUUUCUUUGACACGGCCAUCUCCUCUCUGACUCAUCCAUCAGGUCUCAAGUGUAUUGUGGCGAACCGCUGUCGAAUUUACUCCACUUUUAUAUCCCUUUCCUCUCCUGUAUCUCGCUCUCUCCCUCUCUCCAUUUCCAUUUGCACUGCAUCUGUCUCUCUUAAGCAAAGGUUAACUUCUAGUUCAAUGUUAAUACUACCUAAAUAAUGCAUAUUUCCCAUGAAACAUGAAUGAGCUGGCUUUUUUUAAAAGGAAAAUAUUGUAAAUUAUACAGACUUUGUCAAUCUCAUGAGCUGAAAUAUUUCAAUAUUUGGACAGACAUGCAGGGAAGUUCAGAACAGGGUAGAAUUUGAGCUCUCGGUGCAAAUAGUGUUGCCUUCCAGGGUUUUUAUAAGUGAUAGAGAAGACUAGUCGUUAGCUCAGAGGGUGCUAAUUGUGUGGUCGGUGCUCUAGUUUGAAAGAAACUGAGUAAAAAUCUAUGUGUGCGUCAUGUCAGUGUACCUCUGCUCUUUUAAUAAAGGUAACACAAGUUCAGAAGACUUUAGUUUCUGUUCAGCUUUCAAACUUUUUUGGUAAUUCACAUGUGCCCUUAUUUUGCUGCAACUUUUCAGCAUCACAGCGAUGUCAUCCUCACUUCAGGUGGUGUAUGUGACACUCUUAGGGCCACAUUGUGUGCUGUCUCCUCACACCAGCAAUUGUGUCAUUUUUACCUCAAAAACCUGUUAGCUACGCAGUUUGGGCUUCUCGUGUCUUGCUUAAUAGCCUGAAGUAGAUGCAAGUGGAACUGACAUAAGCCUGUGUGUUUAUCUGUUAUUGUCUGCCGCUGUGAGCAUGUGCUCUGGGUGUCCUCUGUGUGUGUGUGUGUGUGUGUGUGUGUGUGUGUGUGUGUGUGUGUGUGUGUGUGUGUGUGUGUGUGUGUGUGUGUCCCUGCAUGUGUGUUUUUGGAUGCUGUGGGUGGGUACAGCCUGUGUGCAUGCCAUGAAUGUGGAUGAUGCGUGUGCACGCUUGCUGUGUGUUCUCAUUUGAUAGCCGCUUGCUAUCAGUGUUUGUUUGGGGUUAAAAGCCCCUGUCUCUGAGGGUGUUAGCGGGGGUCAUCUAAACCGGAUCUGCAGCAGAAUCGCUUGAGAGGCAGAAGCAUAAUCUGUAGCUGGCUUUGUGCUCCCAGAUUAAAGUGAUGAUGUUUUAAACCUUUCUCACGGCCACAAUAUGCCUUUGCUUUCCUCCCCGUUACUCAGUGUGAGUGUGACAGCAGAUCCACACGGUCGGGUUCAAGAAGAGGACACCUUCCUCGCUAUUUAUGAAGCGGGGAGCUUUAGCAUAUUAUCUGAGACGACGCACGCAUGUUCUAUUCAUCUAUUAAUUUGCCAUCAGCGUGGUGUAGCUAUAGCGUAUCUUCUCCACUGUUUGAGGGGAAACAGCUGCUAAUCCUAAUCCUCCCCCAGUCCCCCCCCCACCCCCCGGGAUUCUGUCAAAUCACAGGCCCUUUAAAAAGCUCUGGCUGGCUGGUUUCAGGGCUGGUUGAGUAGCUGUCUGACUGGCAGGCUCUAAAUGAGAGGAUGGACCAUGCUUACCCACUCCCGUGACUGACAUCCACUAGGCCUCCAAAAGUAUGUCACUUGUUUGCACAAGUAUGUACAUACACAACCCAGAAAUUUUCAGCGCCCGCUGUUUUUUCCAGUGGUAUCGUCCGACAGGCUUUACUGAUAAACAUCUGCAGACGAGUAGUUUACAGGUAUGUCAAGAAGGUUUAAAUAAAUGCAUACCAUACUGUGACACAGAGUAGUAGAAGGAUUUUUGGUUUACACAAGAUGUUUGUUGCUGGAAAAGAUGUUCUUAAUAACAGCCAGUGAUACUCACAUCUAAAAGGAAAUCGACAAACCAUCAGGGAAAUCUUUCUGCAACCAUUCUCUUAUCUUGUCCACAUGUUUAGGGGGACAUCUUAACAUUUGGGGACAUAAUAUGCUUAUUUGCUUUCUUGCUUGUUAACUUAGUUUAGCAUAAAAAAAUGGACGCAGUUGGCCAGGCAACAACUGGGAUCUUUAGGAGAUCACCUUGUCAAGUCAUUUUCAUAGUUUGAACCAAUAAUAAACAAAAUAUAACGUUAUUUACCUAAAGAAGUGUUGAUCUUUAUGCUAAGCUGUCUAUAACCAUAUUUAGGGAAGAGGGUGGUAUCAAUCUUCGCAUUUAGCUCCUAAACUCUUAAAAAAAACUUUCAAAAGAAAGCAAAUAACAGUAUUUCUUAAACUGUUUAAAUGUGCCUUAAUCAAAACACUUAACCCCAAACUACUGCUGCUGCUAUGUGUAUAUUUAAACUAAACCUAGAGUUUACAGAGCUCUUCUUUCUUACAAGAGAAAAAAAAAGAUCAUUAGGUCUGUAGUUCCUCCUUUUUGCAUCAUAUCAGAGUAAAAGGUUGAAAGCCUUGGUGUAGCGCCAACAUCACUGCCACACUCUGUAAUGUGAAGAUUUUAGAAAAGACUUGACACAUCCCCACUCUUACAAACAAAACAUCAACUGGUCACAUCAGUAUACUCAGGGGUUUUGCCGCCACAAUCUAACGCUAACGCUUUAGCUAUGGUGGCAACUAAUGUCAGCAAACUGUAGACGUGUAUUAUCCUUUCCUGCCACUCCCUCUGUUGAGUCUUGACAGUUUAUUUUGACUCUGGAAGUAGUUUCAGAAAACUACCGCUACUUCUGAAAACGUCUCAGCCAUGAGCAAAUAUACUGUUGUUGGCUGCAAGAGUGAACGCAGGAGUCUUCAUGCACUACUAGCACCAGAGGAACUGAAGAUCCAGUAGAUGACUUUUAUUAUUGAUGACAAUGUCUUCAAAAAAUCGAAAAAUCCUUGGUUUGAUGAGCAUGUUGAGCAGCUAUAGGGGCUACUGUUACAUUUACCUUUGACUGUAUGCCCACAGGUCAGAACUAUGAGGAUGUAGUCUUGUUGUCAUUCAGUCAUGGUGCCAACUGUGAAAUUGACCUCUUUGGACUAACUUUCCAUACACAGGAACUAAAAACAUAGCCAAGCUUUUCUUUUUCACUGAAAAGUUGAAAGACAUAUUCUGAGGACAUGUGCCACUGACAUUAAUUUGCUUUGAAGGGGGACAAAAUAGGACCUUUAAAUUGACCACCAUCUUGCGAUCACCACUCGUGGCCACAUUGAGCUAAUGUUACUUAAGUCAAGUUUCUGUCCAAAUAUAGCAAAAUUUUAACCACAUUUUUAGAAAAAUGGGCUUUGAAAAGAUUUAUUUUGCCCAUGUCUUCCACCCACAACUGUUAUGGGAAUAGUAGGAGUCAUGCAUAUCUAUAUAAAUAAAUACCUGGUGCUUGUACAUCAUUUGGAUGCUGUUAACUACUGCAGAAGAAGAGAGCACCAGUAAAACCUCACACAGUAAAAAAAAAAAAAGCCUGUAGAAAAUGUGACAUACAGAAAUAUAGCAAUUAAUUUGAAGAACUUUGCAGUCUCUAGUUCUGAUGUUUGCAUAGCAAUAUAUGGGUGGAUAUGCACUUACAAGCUCAUUUUAAACCACUGGAAGACCAAAAUGCUCUUCAACCAGUUUCUUGGCAUAUCAUUGACUGAAAGUGGUCAGUUGAGAGUUAAUGCGCUGGAAACAAAUAAAAAUGAACCCUUUUAAAACCCCCAGAACUCGAGUGUGUCAGGAUUUUGACUACAUCCUCCACAAGCUCUAAAGAUAUAGUACUUGCUGUUUUGAUGCAUCUCACGAAGUGUAAGACCCUGAAGCAGUUUCUCUUCUCUGGAAGUCUGAAAGUCUGAAGUACCAUUUCUAACUUUCACUCUCCAGCACAAACACUAAUAUCGGUCUUGUCCAUCAGUUGUUCUCACAUCAGUCAUUUCAGAUAAUGACUCUCAGCUGGGAAAGUGGAGCGACGUCGAGGCUGAGAGUAUCAGCAGACACACUUGCGUCUUCCUCCCUUGUUCUUGGCAUAUAAGGAUGAGAUGCGGAUGAGGAGCGCGCGGGUAACUAUCAGUUAUCAGCAUGAGGAUUAGGGACUGUCAUCAGCACCCAUAUGCCUCAUAUUACCCUCCUGAUGACACUAGAUGGAGAGAGGGAAAAGAUUGAGGAGGAGGAGGAGGAGGAGGUGGCUCGGGGGAAGGAUUACACCCGCUCUAAGAUUUCAGGGUAAAAGUCAGGUAGAGAACAGAGCCUGUCAAAGUAAAGUCUCAUAUAGACUCUGGUGUGUGAAUGUACAUUUCCACAAGUGCACAAAUCCCCAGAGAUAUGCAUAAAAAGACAUUGUGGCAGGAGCACUUUUCAUUUCUGGGUUCCUAAGCUAAACACAAUGCAAGUUCCUGUUGUAGAAAUGUGGGUGUGAAUGUUUGCUGUGCUGCUUGUAUGUAUGUAUGUAUGUACACUACCAGUCAAAGGUUUGGACACACCUUCUAAUUCAAUGUUUUUUCUUUAUUUUUACUACUUUCUACAUUGUAGAUACAUACUGAAGACAUCAAGGCUAUGAAGCAAGAUAUAUAGAAUUAUGCAGGUAACAAACAAUUGUGAAAUAACUAAAUAUGUUUCAGAUUUCUCAAAGUAGCCACCCUUUGCUUUGAUGACAGCCUUACAAACCCUUGGCCUUCUCUCUAUGAGCUUCAUGAAGUAGUCAUCUGAAAUGGUUUUCACUUCACAGGUGUGCCUUGUCAAAGUUCAUUUGUGAAAUUUCUUGCCUUUUUUAUGGGGUUGGGACCAUCAGUUGUGUUGUGCAGAAGUCAACUUGGUACACAGUCAUCAGCCCUAUUUGACAACUGUUACAAUCCAUAUUAUGUCAAGAACCAAUCAGCUAAGUAAAGAGAAACGACAGUCCAUCAUUACUUUAAGAACUGAAGGUCAGUCAGUCCGGAAAAUUGCCAAAACUUUGAAUGUAUUCCCAAGUGCAGUUGCAAAAACCAUCAAGUGCUAUGACGAAACUGACCGCCCCAGGAACGAAAGACCAAGAGUCACCUCUGCUGUUGAGGAUAAGUUCAUCCAAGUCACCAAACUCAGAAACUGCAAGUUAUCAGCACCUCAGAUUAGAGCCCAGAUAAAUGCCACACAAAGUUCUAGCAGCAGACACAUCUCUACAUCAACUGCUCAGAAGAGACUGACCAAUCAGACCUUGAUGGUCAAAUAGCUGCUAAGAAACCACUACUAAGGAAAAGCAACAAGCAGAAGAGAUUUGUUUGGGCCAAGAAACACAAGGAAUAGACAUCAGACCAGUGAAAAUCUGUGCUUUGGUCUGAUGAGUCCAAAUCUGAGAUCUUUGGUUCCAUCUUUGGUGUCUCUGUGUCACGCAGAAAAGGUGAACGGAUGGUCUCUACAUGCAUGGUUCCCACCAAGAAGCAUGGAGGAGGAGGUGUGAUGGUGUGGGGGUGGUUUGCUGGUGACACUGUUGGGGAUUUAUUCAAAACUGAAGGCACACUGAACCAGCAUGGCUACCACAGCAUCCUGCAGCGACAUGUCAUCCCAUCCGGUUUGCGUUUAGUUGGACCACCAUUUAUUUAAACAGGACAAUAACCCCAAACACACCUCCAGGCUGUGGAAGGGCUAUUUGACCAAGAAGGAGAGUGAUGGAGUGCUGCGCCAAAUAACCUGGCCUCCACAGUCACCUGAUGUAAGCCCAAUCGAGGUGGUUUGGAAUGAGAUGGACCGCAGAGUGAAGGCAAAAGGGCCAACAAGUGCUCAGUAUCUCUGAGAACUCCUUCAAGACUGUUGGAAAACCAUUUCUGGUGACUACCUCAUGAAGCUCAUCAAGAGAAUGCCAAGAGUGUACAAAGCAGUAAUCAAAGCAAAGGGUGGCUAUUUGGAAGAAUCUAAAAUAUAAAACAUGUUUUGACUUAUUUCACACUUUUUUGUUUACAACACAUAUAUGGGUUCAUUCAUAGUUUUGAUGCCUUCAGUGAGAAUCUACAUUUAAAUAGUCAUGAAAAUAAAGAAAAAACAUUAAAUCAGAA